GCCGACCUUCCCGCCCUUUCUUCCUGCGUGCCUGGGCCAUGGCCGGCCAUGGCGGCGGACACCGGUACCGGAGGCUUCCGGCACCUCGCCAGGGGGGCCGGGACUGCUGGAACGGCUCCCCGCAGAACGACGUCCUGAAGUAAACAAGCCUGGUCUUUCCAGAUAAAUGUGACACAACUAGGACUGGGAGCAGGUCGCUCUUUGGACAUGGCCCCAGUGUGAAGGUCUCGGCUGCCAUGAGGUGGUUGUUACUAAUGUCUGCCAACUAAUGUUACAGCUCUUCACAAGUCCUGUGGAAGGAGAUGAGAGAGGAAGAGCAGGAAAUUCUUCUGGGUGUUUGUGCUGAAAAUGGCUGAGGAAGAAGGAAUCCAAUAAAAUACGCCGGUGAGGUUGGAGGCUAGUGGUUGUAAACAUUACAUAUUUUUCUGCACUAAGAUGUUAAAUGGUAACAGUUACAGUUUUCAUUACACAUAUAUUAAAAUUCUCUCAAAAAA